UCUUCAUUAACGGCUGCAGUUGCAUCAUUGUUUCCUUUAUUUGUUAUCUCUGUAAAGCCAAUGAUUCAGUAACAGGCUAUAUUUUGGUGUUUUCUUCCUUACAAAUAUGUGGUCUUUAAUAGUGAUGGAUUAAGUAGGCCGUAUGUAAAGUAUUUUUAUAAAUAUUAGCGUUUAUUUGUGGUUUUCUAUUGCAAAUGAUCCUAUCUCAAGGUCGUGCUUUGCAUCCGGUUUGUGUUGGACAUCGGUUUCUAAAUAACCAGACAAGGUCCUACCUUCAUACAAAGCUGAAGGCAGCAGAGUCAGAACCUGACGACUACAGGGAGCCAGCUCAGAUCUGGGUCAUGCUGCCACCAGCACAAACCAGGAACAUACUGGAGCUUUUACACAUCUUCAUCUCCACCAAGGCUCCCAUGGAGGCAUAGAGAAACCUGAAGCCAAGAGGCACGGAGCUGCAUCCUAGCACCUGUCAUUCACACCCACAUUGGUUCAUGUUCAUGUUCUGUUUUCAACCUCUCUCUCAUAUUCUCUCCUCUCAUCAUGCCUCUCUAUAUCUGCCAUUAGCUGUUACUCUACCAUAUAAUAUGCACAUGUACUGUAUACCUUACUUACCAUAUAGUAGACAGCGUGUGCUGUUCACACUGCAGAGUUUCUGUGUGUAUCUCAGGCAGCCACUGCAGUGACAAGGGCACUGGAUCAACCUUUGACAAUAACAAAGUCAUUUCCAAAUACAAUACAAUGCAAUAGUGGGAAAAAAACUACACGUAUCCAUUAAAACAAUACACUUGAAUUCUCAUCACUAACAUUCAGCGACAAUUAAUUUGAUCAUUGUCGGGUUAUAGAAUAGUCAUGCCAAGGGUUCUUCUACAACAUUCAAAAUACAUGUUUAUUUGGAUUAGGCCUAGAGAAGAAUAGAGUGGUGAGAUAGAUGUGGUUGAUUUAGAUAAUGUCUCCAUUCUUAUUUUUGGGGAAUUGUUUGGACCAGAGCCUGCAUUACAGUUAUUGAUGAGGAGAUUCAGAUAGGCAGGCUGGAGGACACAAGGCUUUUGUUUUGAGUAGAGUAGAGGUGCAAUCAGCAUGCAGUUAGUGAAGAAAGGUGAAGCUACAAUAAAUAAGUAUAGAUGGAUAUUUUAAACAUAUAUUGAGAUUGAUUAGAAUAUGAAGUGUUCAAAUCAAGUGAGUUGAUAGUAGUUGUUCAUUUCCAUCAUCAACAACUAGCCUACUCUCAGUAUUAAAAUACCUGAGUAGGAAUUUAGAUAUCGGCCUACACUUGGGUAAUGUAAAGCUCACAAUAGACAUCAAGAGGAUGCGGUUUUGGUUAAGGGCGAGAUUAUCAGAAUAGCGACUGGUGGGCCAUAAGUCACUGGGUUGACCAGUGGAAAUUCUAAAUUGUCUGGUGACACACUUGAAUGGAGAGAUCUGUCCGGUCGUGGGAAAAGCUCGCUUGGACGUUUCACAAAUCCAGCGUAUAGCCUCCUCCUACUGAAUCAAACCAAUUAGCCAGGAGCGCGCUCCAACCAUUGAGAGACACUGUAGGCUCUGAGAGGAGUUGUUGGUUGAAUGAAAAUGCAUCCCCGGAUUUGGUUCUCCAAGAGAAGCUAUAGAAGUUGCCUUUUGAAGGACGGCUAUAGCACCGUGAAGGGCCAGGCAGAAAGUCCAAAUUGAGACACUUGAAUCAUUUAGGCGAUUAGGUGUGCACACAAUGCGUAAAAGUAUUGUGUGACUCACAUGGGAGGUAUAAUGCAUUUAAAAUCUACAAAAACCAUGAAUAUCUUAAGUGUUCUUCCUUUCUAGGUAACACAACUCAAUGUGAGAACACAACUACAUGUUUUUAUUCCUGAAAUUAUGCGUUUAUGUAAUGACAUGGAUCUCUUGACUUAAUAUCGACUGAAAGAUAUCAUUAGCCUACGCUUAUUCAGAAUAUCAGUGCAAGGGGUAGGCAAAGCCUACAUAGCUCAUCUAAAUCAGGACAGCCUUUUUCAUAGGCGUUGGACUACAGUAGGCCUAAAUACGUCAUAAGGGCUAAUAGCGGCCAUUUUCUGGAAAAUUGAAACCUUUCCACCUUUUUAAGAAUGACAUCAAUAUGAGCUACAAAUCUUAAUCCAUUUCAUUAAACCUUAAUUCAAUAUGUGUUUGCGUGUGUGUAAACCUGAUUUAUGCAGUGAGAACUAUAAGGAAUACAGCCUCAACUGUGGAUACUUUGAUGCAACAAAGCUUUAUUCAUAUUCAGGCAUGAAUACCAAUUGUUACAGUUCACUCAUAUGACUGGAUAAAGUUAUGUAAUUCCUCUGAACGGAAUAAAGGCUUUUUCUGAAGUA